UACGUAGGGUGCAAGCGUUGUCCGGAAUUAUUGGGCGUAAAGAGCUCGUAGGCGGUUUGUCGCGUCUGCUGUGAAAACUCGGGGCUUAACCCCGGGCCUGCAGUGGGUACGGGCAGACUAGAGUGCGGUAGGGGAGACUGGAAUUCCUGGUGUAGCGGUGAAAUGCGCAGAUAUCAGGAGGAACACCGAUGGCGAAGGCAGGUCUCUGGGCCACUACUGACGCUGAGGAGCGAAAGCGUGGGGAGCGAACAGG
rnacentral:rRNA from 1 species